rnacentral:rRNA from 1 species
CUUGGUCAUUUAGAGGAAGUAAAAGUCGUAACAAGGUCUCCGUAGGUGAACCUGCGGAGGGAUCAUUGCCGAAUGGCCCGAUGGGCCUUCAACCCAAAAACCUGUGGAAGCUAACUGUGCUUCGGCGCCUUUGGCGUCGUAUCUAUGCAAUCGAUCUGUGUCUGAAUUAAAGCUAGAAUUAAAACUUUCAACAAAGGAUCUCUUGGCUCUUGCAUCGAUGAAGAACGUAGCGAAGCGCGAAAUGUAGUGUGAAUCGCAGAACCUUGUGAAUCAUCGAAUCUUUGAACGCACAUUGCGCCUCUCUCUCGAGAGGCAUGCCUGUCUGAGCGUCAUUUAAAUCAAAUGGGACGCAAGUCUCGUGUUGGGCCUCGCCCCUGGGCGUAGCCUCGAUGCCAUCGGUCUAACGAGCGGGCGAGUUCCUUUAGGACGGACCGUUCGUGGCCUGACGACUUCUGACUUGACCUCAGAUCAGGUAGGACUACCGCCUGAACUUAAGCAUAUCAAUAAGGCGAGGAACAGAAACCAACAGGGAUUCCCUCAGUAGUGGCGAACGAAGCGGGAGAAGCUCAAGUUUGAAAUCUGGCGGGUGACCUCCAGAGUUGUAAGCUGAUGAGGCAUCGACCGACGCGGUCCAGGCUCAACUUCCUUGGAACAGGAGGUCAAUGAGGGUGAGAACCCCGUCUGUGGCUGGGACGCCGUCGUCUUUGUGUCGUGCCCUCUAAGAGUCGGGUUGUUUGGGAAUGCAGCUCAAAAUGGGUGGUAAAUUUCAUCUAAGGCUAAAUACUGGCGAGAGACCGAUAGUAAACAAGUAGAGUGAUCGAAAGAUGAAAAGUACUUUGAAAAGAGAGUGAAACAGUGCGUGAAAUUGUUGAAAGGGAAGCGCUUGGUAUCAGCCCUUGGCGUCAGUCCAUCAGCCCGGCUUCUGUCGGGUGCACUGGUCUGGCGUCGGGCCAGCGUCGGCUUUGCCCGCCGGAGAAAGGCUCGGGGGAUGUGGCUCCUCUCGGGGAGCGUUAUAACCCUGGGCGUCAUGCGGCGCGGCGAGGUCGAGGUCUGCGGUUUAUCCAAGGACGCUGGCGUAAUGGUUCCAAGCGACCCGUCUUGAAACACGGACC